rnacentral:rRNA from 1 species
UGGGAAACGAUGUGGGAAGGCCCAGACAGCCAGGAUGUUGGCUUAGAAGCAGCCAUCAUUUAAAGAAAGCGUAAUAGCUCACUGGUCGAGUCGGCCUGCGCGGAAGAUGUAACGGGGCUAAACCAUGCACCGAAGCUGCGGCAGCGACACUAUGUGUUGUUGGGUAGGGGAGCGUUCUGUAAGCCUGCGAAGGUGUGCUGUGAGGCAUGCUGGAGGUAUCAGAAGUGCGAAUGCUGACAUAAGUAACGAUAAAGCGGGUGAAAAGCCCGCUCGCCGGAAGACCAAGGGUUCCUGUCCAACGUUAAUCGGGGCAGGGUGAGUCGACCCCUAAGGCGAGGCCGAAAGGCGUAGUCGAUGGGAAACAGGUUAAUAUUCCUGUACUUGGUGUUACUGCGAAGGGGGGACGGAGAAGGCUAUGUCGGCCGGGCGACGGUUGUCCCGGUUUAAGCGUGUAGGCUGACUUUCCAGGCAAAUCCGGAAGGUUAAGGCUGAGGCGUGAUGACGAGGCACCACGGUGCUGAAGUGACAAAUGCCCUGCUUCCAGGAAAAGCCUCUAAGCAUCAGGUAACAUCAAAUCGUACCCCAAACCGACACAGGUGGUCAGGUAGAGAAUACCAAGGCGCUUGAGAGAACUCGGGUGAAGGAACUAGGCAAAAUGGUGCCGUAACUUCGGGAGAAGGCACGCUGACAUGUAGGUGAAGCCCCUGCGGGUGGAGCUGAAGUCAGUCGAAGAUACCAGCUGGCUGCAACUGUUUAUUAAAAACACAGCACUGUGCAAACACGAAAGUGGACGUAUACGGUGUGACGCCUGCCCGGUGCCGGAAGGUUAAUUGAUGGGGUUAUCCGUAAGGAGAAGCUCCUGAUCGAAGCCCCGGUAAACGGCGGCCGUAACUAUAACGGUCCUAAGGUAGCGAAAUUCCUUGUCGGGUAAGUUCCGACCUGCACGAAUGGCGUAAUGAUGGCCAGGCUGUCUCCACCCGAGACUCAGUGAAAUUGAACUCGCUGUGAAGAUGCAGUGUACCCGCGGCAAGACGGAAAGACCCCGUGAACCUUUACUACAGCUUGACACUGAACAUUGAGCCUUGAUGUGUAGGAUAGGUGGGAGGCUUUGAAGCGUGGACGCCAGUCUGCGUGGAGCCGACCUUGAAAUACCACCCUUUAAUGUUUGAUGUUCUAACCUGGCGCCGUGAUCCGGCGUGGGGACAGUGUCUGGUGGGUAGUUUGACUGGGGCGGUCUCCUCCCAAAGUGUAACGGAGGAGCACGAAGGUCAGCUAAUCCUGGUCGGACAUCAGGAGGUUAGUGCAAUGGCAUAAGCUGGCUUGACUGCGAGAGUGACGGCUCGAGCAGGUGCGAAAGCAGGUCAUAGUGAUCCGGUGGUUCUGUAUGGAAGGGCCAUCGCUCAACGGAUAAAAGGUACUCCGGGGAUAACAGGCUGAUACCGCCCAAGAGUUCAUAUCGACGGCGGUGUUUGGCACCUCGAUGUCGGCUCAUCACAUCCUGGGGCUGAAGUAGGUCCCAAGGGUAUGGCUGUUCGCCAUUUAAAGUGGUACGCGAGCUGGGUUUAGAACGUCGUGAGACAGUUCGGUCCCUAUCUGCCGUGGGCGCUGGAGAAUUGAGGGGGGUUGCUCCUAGUACGAGAGGACCGGAGUGAACGCAUCACUGGUGUUCGGGUUGUCAUGCCAAUGGCAUUGCCCGGUAGCUAAAUGCGGAAG